rnacentral:lncRNA from 1 species
GACAUUGGUGGGAAACACUUAAUUUUGUGGUUUUGACAAAAAUGUGAUUCCGCAAUUUUCGUGGAGAAAGUGUCUUUUUUUGUGUUUUUGACUAGUCCUAGGAAUUCGGGUUUUCGGUUCAGGUCGGUUCGGUUUAUUCGGUUUUCGGCAUAUUCUGGCUAGGAUGUUUAGGAACCGUUUAGGAACCAGACAUUUUUCAGAUCGGUUCGGUUCGAGUAAUGUCGGGUUUGGGCCAGGUUUCUAUUUUUCUUAUAAAACCCGAACUGGAACCGUAUUAUAAAUAAAUCAGGUUUG